AUGACUUUACGUCCUGUGUGACAUGGGUAUACCUGUGCAUUGUGUGUAUUCCUUUGCAGUCUAUGUGUGUGCCUGUGUGGUGUGGGUAUGCCUAUGCCCUUUGUGUGCACCUGUGUGAUGUAGAUGUGCCUGUACCCCAGCUGUUCCUGUAUGUAUCAGUGCCUGGAUGGGUCCUGGAGCCUCUGGCUGCUCUUCUCUUUAUAGGCUCUGUCUCUCUAGCCUGGACUUCCCAGAGGAAGAAGAGAACAGUGCAUAUUCACCACACUGAAAGGCAGCCUCUAGACCAGCCCUGGAUGGAUUGCACAAACUGGAGACUGCGGAAGACCUCUGCCAAGGAAAGCCUGGCCCUCCCCAGUCCUGUCUGCCCCCUCUGAGCCCUGUCUAAGAUUACAGCCCAUGGCCCUUCCUCUCCUUCCUUUCCCAGAGCAAGAGCCACAGCAGUUAGCCCAUGACAGUGCCAGAGACAGCCCUGGCCUGGGGAACCAAGGACCAGAAGGGAAGACCAGGCCUCUAGUUCCUCGGCACCAGACCUGACCCAGCCAGGCCUGGAGUGUCAACAUGAGUGUGAAUGUGAGUGAAAGGGUGAACGUGGUGAAAGCAUAGCUUCUGAACUCCCAGACUGCAGUGCUUCCAAUAAAACCACCUAGCACCCA